rnacentral:rRNA from 1 species
AGAACGAACGCUGGCGGCAUGCCUAAUACAUGCAAGUCGAACGAGAUCUUCGGAUCUAGUGGCGCACGGGUGCGUAACGCGUGGGAAUCUACCCUUGGGUUCGGAAUAACAGUUGGAAACGACUGCUAAUACCGGAUGAUGACGAAAGUCCAAAGAUUUAUCGCCCAAGGAUGAGCCCGCGUAGGAUUAGCUAGUUGGUGAGGUAAAGGCUCACCAAGGCUACGAUCCUUAGCUGGUCUGAGAGGAUGAUCAGCCACACUGGACUGAGACACGGCCCAGACUCCUACGGGAGCAGCAGAGGAAUA